GCAGCGGGACUGGAGGACGCCUGGACUGGAGGGUUAACCAUUAACCCUCCAUUCCCCCAUUGCGGAGAGCUGUUCCCUGCUCCUGCUACCCAGGGUGGGCACCAUGCCUGGCCUGUACUGCCCCACCAGCUGGACGCCGCUGCCGCUCACCGACUCCUGCGUCCGGGCCUAUGCCAAGGGACCCUGCCUCAGCCUGCGUGCCCGGCUUACCUACCACAACCCACAGCCCCAGCCGGUGGAAGGCGUGUUCGUGUACCCUCUGGCUGAGGCGGAGGUGGUAUCUGGCUUCGAGGCCGAGGCGGCCGGACGGCGCGUCUCCUUCCAGUUGCAUAGCCGGCGCCGAUCACAGGCCGCCUGCUGUCGCGCUCUGGGCCCGGGACUAGGGACCUCUACACCCCGCCGCUGCGCACAGGGUAAGCUCCGAGCCCGAGCCCGAGCCCGCGCCCUCGAAUGCCAGCUCAGGUUCUUGCACCCUCGUGCCUCCGCUAACAUCGCCAGCCUCCUUUCUUCUUCCAGACGCUGAUUUUAUUUUCCAUCCAUUGGUUACCCCUUUAUCCAGCAGUCAUGGACUGGGCAUCUAACCUGAACCUGGUACUGAAAGAAUGUGGCCCAGGCUGAGUCUGUCCUUCGCAGCCAGGCAGACACAAUAGGCACAAAGUAGCUUACAGGGUACCAAAGACCUCUACUGUUCAGGUAGCCAUAGUCUCUUUAGGUUGAGGCAGGCUAUCUCCUCCUCAGUCCCUUGCCUCUUAGACUACACACAUGAGUUCCGGUGAACCUAUGAACGGACUAGCUCCAGAAUCAAAUCCACUGUCCUGUCUAACAGCCCAGGUUCUCACUCCUAGCUAAAGCUCAAUUUAUACUGCUCAGCUCUACCAUCCGCUGGCUCUAACUAAUGUGUUUGUGCUUGUUCUCUGAGAGUUACUCAAAUGCUUUCUCCUUAUGGAAUUCUCCCUUAUCCUCCACGAAUAAUUGACUGUGCUCCCCCCUUGUUCCCCAGUCAGAGCACUUAAGAGGGAGAAUAAAUGUCACUGUACCUGCUUGUCUAUCUCUCCCGAAACAUUGCCUCCUGAGCUUGGGGCUGUACUUUGGUCAUUUCUAGGUCAUUUAACAUAGAACCUGGGACAAAGGGAUCCAGUGAGUACUGGAGGGCAUGGAAAUCCACCCCUGUGCUGUGCUCUGUGGUUUGCAUCCUAUUUAUUUGUUUAUUUAUUUAUAUACGCAUUUGAUUCUUGUUCAUACGACUAUCAGGUAAGAAAAAAAAAAAAAGAAAGAAUCCAACGGUGUGGAGAGUUGGAUUAAGCCUAACAGACAGGUAGAAGCAAGAAUAAAGUCUAGGUUCUAGCCCCAGGAAUGUUCCAGAAAGAGGAACUAGCAUUUAACUAGAAGAGUGGGAAUUGGUGAAGGGAGAUUAGGGGUGAUGGUGUAAACACUGUGAUGGAUACACAGGACUCCAAGUGGGUUUCAGCUCACAACACCUGUGUGUCCUAGAUACAGAGAGCACAGAGUAUGCAUUGUCCCCUUCAACCUCUUCUUUUGUUUGUUUGUUCGGUUUUCCAAGACAGGGUUUCUCUGUGUAUCCCUGGCUGUCCUGGAACUCACUUUGUAGACCAGGCUGGCCUCGAACUCAGAAAUCUGCCUGCCUCUGCCUCCCGAGUGCUGGGAUUAAAGGCAUGCACCACCACUGCCUGGCUCCUUCGACCUCUUAUUGGGAACAAAAGCAGUGGCCAUGCUCCUUAAAUGGGUGCUUUGCAUUAGUUAUUCAUUUAUUCAUCACCAUAAUCUUUCAGAUAUAAUUAUGUUCUCCAUUUUAUGGAUGAGGAAAUGAAGGGCUCCCAAGAAGAUUGUCAAAUGACACAAUUAGAAGUCACAGAGCUGAGACUCAAAACCUGACUCUGUUCUUCUUACUGGCAGGACAGUCUGGCCUUGAACUCUCAGAGAUCUGCCUGACUCUGCCUCCCAAGUACUAGGAAAGUUGAAAGCCACCAUACCAAUCUCUCUCUCUCUCUCUCUCUCUCUCUCUCUCUCUCUCUCUCUGUGUGUGUGUGUGUGUGUGUGUGUGUGUCUUUCUCUGACUCUACUCCCUCCUCAAUUCCCCUUCCCAUGCCCUAAAUAAACUAUUCUACACUAUACCCAUCCUAUGGCUGGUACCUUAGGGAGAAGGGAUGCCAAGGCACCUCUCCCACCUCACCAUACCUGGCUCAACAAAACAUAUCCUGGUCUUUUUAUAAAACACAACAGGGUUUCUCUGUGUAGACUAGGCUGGUCUGUGUGCCUCUGCCUCCCAAGUGCUGGAUUUUUUUUUUUUUUCUUAUUGGAUCUUUUUUCUUCCUUUAUCUUGUUCAGCAAGUAUUUCUGGAAAAGGUGAACAAAUGAUUGUUAGAUAAAGCAAAACAUGGCUGCAAAGGUGACCUGGGGCCAGACUGUGUAGUCACAUCCAGUAGCAGUGGCAAAUCUUUUAAAAUAUUCCCCUAUUCCCUAUCCUACCUCCCUCCCACCCCGACCCCCCACCUCAAGGCUACAACAGAACCUGUGCUUUGCAUGUAAGUGCUAUUUUGUGUCCUCUAACCUGCUUCUAAGCACACUGCUGCCCUUAACCUCUUUGAGAAGGUAGAACCCAGGAGCCACCUUAGUGAGUACUGGUGAGACCUUUCAGAGCAGAGGAGCAGAGAAUCUGUGAACACGUCAGGUCCCCUGUCUAGAGGGAGGUGUCAGUCCACAAGAGAGGCUCUUUAGGGUGAUUGCAAACUAAAGUUAAACAGGGGAAGAAUGGGAUCUUAGAAGUGGAAACGCCCCCUUCUCAUCAGUCCUCCAGUCAUGUUAUUCCGUUAUUUCCUCGUGCUCUUGCCUGUUGAUAGCCCACCCAUUCCUUCUAUCAAUCUGACUCUCCCACCAUUGUUCACCUCAUGUGUCAUCCUGCCUCACGUGCCUUGCCCACUACAAAGUCCUGCUUUGCCUGGCAUUGUGCCUCAGUUUCCCUACUGAUAUCCUUUCCUCCACCCCCUUCUAGUGCUCUCUGAAACCUUUUCUUACUUAUCAUAGGUCAUCUUGUCUUGAAUCUGGCCCAAGCCCGGUCCACACUGGUGUUGCCCACUGGCCUUGUGGCUGCAGCUGGUACCAUGACAGUGACCCUGUGCAGCAGCCGGGAGUUGCCCUCCAGGCCUGAUGGGGUGAUGCAUGUGGCCCUGCCCACUGUGUUCACCCCACUGGCCCAGCCAAACCUGCCAGGGUCCCCCAGGUCUCCGGGGCUCUGUGACGACAGCCCCACCAGCUGCUUCGGGGUAGGCAGCCCUGAGGAGGAAAGGCCGACCUGGGAGCAACCAACUGCCACUCCGGACGUGUUCUCAGGCCCUGCCCGCUGUCCUGCUCCGUAUACCUUCUCUUUCGAGAUGCUAGUGACCGGACCAUGUCUGUUGGCAGGCCUGGAGAGCCCCUCUCAUGCUCUGCGUGCAGAUGCCCUCCCUCAUGCCAGCUCUGCAGCAACUAUCCGUGUCACCCUGGCAGAGGGCCACCAGUGUGAUCGGGCCUUGGAGAUCCUCUUGCACCCCAGUGAGCCCCAUCAGCCACACUUGAUGCUGGAGACUGGCAGCUUGAGUUCAGCAGAAUAUGAGGCCCAAGUGAGGGCCCGCCAUGACUUCCAGAGGUUGCAGCAAAGAGACAGUGGUGGGGAACGGCAGGUCUGGUUCCUGCAGCGACGGUUCCAUAAGGACAUCUUGCUGAACCCUGUGCUGGUGCUGAACUUCUGCCCAGACCUGAGCUCCAAGCCUGGACACCUGAAUGCAGCUACCCGGGAGCUCCUCUUCCUGUUAGAUGGCAGUGGUGCAGGACACAAGGAUGCCAUUGUUUUGGCUGUAAAAUCCCUCCCAGCUCAGACUCUAGUCAACCUAGCCAUAUUUGGGACAUUGGUACAGCCACUCUUCCCAGAGAGCCGGCCUUGCAGUGAUGACACUGUGCAGCUGAUCUGCGAGAGCAUCGAGACUCUCCAGACUGUGAAUGGUCCCCCUGAUAUGCUGGCUGUAUUGGAUUGGGCCUUAGGGCAGCCCCAGCACAGGGCCUACCCUCGACAGAUGUUCCUGAUCACUGCUGCCUCGCCAACGGCUGCCACCACUCACCAAGCCCUGGAGUUUAUGAGGUGGCACAGAGGGGCAGCCAGGUGCUUCUCCUUUGCAUUGGCACCUGCCUGCCGCCAGCUGCUCCAUGACUUGUCUGUCCUCAGCAGAGGACAGGCUUACUUCCUGAGGCCCGGGGAGAGACUUCAGCCCAAGCUGGUACAGGCUCUGCGGAAGGCACUGGAACCUGCUUUGAGUGACAUCUCUGUGGACUGGUUUGUGCCUGAUGCUGUGGAGGCACUGCUGACACCCCGGGAGAUCCCAGCUCUCUACCCUGGGGACCAGCUGCUUGGCUACUGCUCGCUUUUCAGGGUGGAUGGCUUCCGGUCCCAUGCUCUAGGGGGACAAGAGCCUGGUUGGCAGAGCUUGGCCGGUUCAGUCUUCCCAUCUCCAGAGGAGGUGUUAUCCGCCACCAGCCCUGGCACUGAGCCUACGCACACCACAGAGCCCCUGGGAACAGGCACUGUGUCAGCAGAGCUGUCGAGCCCAUGGGCUGUAGGCGACUCAGAGCAGAGUAUGGAAGCUCUGACAGACCCAGUCAUGGAUCCUGGACCUAAUCCCUCAUCUGACACAGCUAUAUGGCGGCGCAUCUUCCAGUCCUCAUACAUCCGGGAGCAGUAUGUGCUUACCCACUGCUCUGCCAGCCCUGAGCCAGGCCCAGGCUCCACCUGCAGUAGCGAGUCCCCAGGUUCCCAAGGCCCUGGCUCCCCCAGUGGUAGCCGUCCCCUGGAUCCCCCUUCUCAGCAGGGCUGCCGAAGCCUGGCCUGGGUAGAACCUGCAGGCUCCCGCUCCUGCCCCCUGCCUGUACCCCCACCAUCUCCAUUCAAGGUGGGAGCCAUGAGCGCUGAGGUGCUGGGCCGUCGGCAAAGAGCAGCUCUGGCUGGUCGAAGUCUCUCAUCUCCCUCAGGCCGGGCAAACCCAGUCCCCGGAAGAGCCCGGCACCCCUCUCUAGAUGCAAUACCAGAUGGAUUAGGCCCUGAGCCAGGACAACAGCUGGGUCAGGGCCUCGAUGAUUCAGGAAACCUGCUCUCCCCAGCCCCCUUGGACUGGGAUAUGUUGAUGGAACCAUCUUUCUUAUUCAAGCCUGUGCCGUCCAGUGCGGAAUCAGCUCCUCCAGCAGAAUGUCUGCCUCCUCAGGCUCCACGUUGCCACGUGGUGAUCCGGGCCCUGUGUGGGGAACAGCCAAUGUGCUGGGAGGUGGGUGUUGGGCUGGAAGAACUCUGGGGUCCUGGGGAUGGCUCCCAGCCUGAAUCACUUCCGAUGAGAGAAGCUGCGUGGGAUCAGGCACUCCACCGGCUGACAGCAGCCUCUGUGGUCCAGGACAAUGAACAGCUGGCUCUCCGUGGAAGAGCUGAAACCAGGGCUGAGCAGGGCAGAGUCAGAAGGUCCUGGCUCAGAGCCAUUCAGACAAGCAAGGUCAGCUCUGCCCCAUCCUGUUUUACCUGCCCUGUUGCUGUAGAUGCUACCACUAGGGAGGUAUUGCCUGGAGCCCUGCAGGUGUGGAGUUCAGAUCCAGCUGAGCUCUCAGGCAUGUCUGCCUCUCAAGACCAGCUAGCUGCCGCUCCUCUGUCCACAGCAGUCCACUCUAAAGCCUCCAGCCUCUUCCAGGCUCAGCCUGGGUCGUCAUCGAAGACUCUGCAGCUCCAAUAAGGGCCAGACUCAUGAGAACAGCAAUGACGGCAGCAACCAUGACUACCUGCCUCUGGUACGACUGCAAGAGGCACCAGGCUCCUUCCGCCUGGAUGAACCCUUCUGUGCUGCUGUGUGCAUUCCUCAAGAACGCCUGUGUCGAGCCUCGCCCUUUGCCGCACACCGUGCCAGCCUCAGCCCCACCUCAGCAUCAUCUCCUUGGGCAUUUCUGAGCCCUGGUAUUGGCCAAGGUGACAGUGCCACAGCCUCCUGCAGCCAGUCCCCCAGCUCAGGUUCUGAGGGUCCAGGCCAGGUAGACAGUGGGAGGGGCUCAGAUACUGAGGCCUCAGAAGGAAUGGAAAGGCAGGACAGCUCUGAUCUUCGUGGGCGCACUUGGGCCACAGCUGUGGCCCUGGCGUGGCUGGAACACCGCUGUGCAGCUGCCUUUGGCGAGUGGGAACUGACAGCUUCCAAAGCUGAUUGCUGGCUGAGAGCCCAACACCUGCCAGACGGACUUGAUCUGACUGCUCUUAAAGCUGCUGCCCGGGGGCUCUUUCUGUUACUGCGACACUGGGACCAGAAUCUGCAGCUACACUUGCUGUGUUACAGCCCUUCGAAUGUGUAAGGCUGCUUGCAGCUCUGGCUAGCGACCCCCAACACAGUCACUGCCACCCAGGGCCAGUCUCUUGGUGCUGGGAAAGAAUAAGUUGGUGUCUGCCGUCCUCCAUUGCUUCACAUACACACACACACACACCCCUCCCAACAUUCUUGUCACCACAGAAAGUGCCUGCCUGUGCUCUCUUCUCUCUCCUCCCACUCCAUACCCCCUCCUAUGUGCUCUGAGCUCUCUAUAGGAUAAUGGAAGAGGAGAGAGCUACGGUCCCAAAUCCUAUGCAAUAAAGUGCCUCUUAAGACUG